GCUGUCACAGUGAAUUCUCUUAGGUAGUCAUUAGGUUCCAGUCGGUUCCUGGAAGUGGAACCUCUGGCAGAGGUACCACGCCCUUUGGGUGUGCUUUGUGCUCCAGGGGGAAAGAACUAGAACUGCAUCCACGAGUUUGUUAAAGCUGCACUAAAGGAAGCUGUCUCCAUCUUCAUGCUGUGAACUCCUUUCUCCUGUUUUCUCUCAACACUUGGGAAGACGUUGUAUCUGUCUUAGCUGAAGAUCAGGAGAUCAGUAUCAUCUGCAUUUUCCCAAACAUCAAAGGAAGGCAGUUUUUCACAAGGGGGUCAGCUGUACUCAUAUGCCCCGUUUUACGUGUGAUGAUGAUGACGCUGUUGCUGCUAUUGACAAUGAAUUUAUCCCACCAGAAGAUACACAUUUCAGUAAAAAUGAGGCAGAUAUACCAUGGAGACUAGGAAAAGGCUCCUAAAAGACCAUCUUCUCCAGGAAUCUUCCAUACCACAAAUAUGAGACAACAUUUCCCUUCUCUUUUCUGUCAAUAAAAAAUCUUUUGAAGAAUUGUUUGCCUUCCUUAUAGUAAAUUCAAGUUGUUUUUGUUUUUGUUAUUGUUGUUUAUUUGUUUAGUAUUGUUUUGGUAGGAUAAAAAUAGAGCCAUGAAAUCAGCAAGAUUUGGACUUAAUCUGGAGAAACACAAUUACUAGUCAUAUAAAUUUAAGCAACUUGCUUUACUUCUCUAGGCCUCCAUUUCAACUAUAAAAUUGAGAUAAAAAUGCCUAUGGUUGAGCUGUUGUGAGGAUUGUAAGAUGACGUACACAAAGUGCUUAGAACUACUCUAUACUCACUAUCUAGAGACUUACAGAAAAGUUGGGAACAUGAGCUACUGCUUCUGUGCUAUCUCCUUGUGUCCCCGGCACCAGCUGAGGCUGUGUGGGAAGCUCCUUUACCAACUCAACCUUAACAGGAUGCAAUGAUGAUGGUGCUGUGGUCCUGCUUAGACACUUUUCAGGAGCUGUUCCAGAAGCAGAAACCCUCUCAGCCUUGAUUUUGGAUCCAGCUCAGGACCGUUGUGCUUAAGAUUCAUUGUUAUUGUGGCUUAUCAUCACAUCUGUUUCUAACCUCAUUAGGGCCAUCAUUCUUGGAAAGUCAUCCAGUUCAUCAAUAUCCUUUAACACUGUUUGGAUUUGUGGGUGUUCAUUCAAGCAGGAAGGGAGGCCUAUGGAGUGUCACAAGGAGAAAUACACAUGGCGGUGGUGGUGAGGGGACGGUGUAUGUGGAGUAAGAAGAAAGACUGCAGGCCAUUCAUGUGGGAAAACACAUCAAGAUCCAUCAUGGCAGCAGGGGAACACAGCAGAGAUGAGCAAAGCUGGGCAGCAGCCUGACUGGGCUUGGCAUGGAGCCAGAAGUACCUCUUCAACAUGGGAAAGGACUCAUCUCAUCAAUUUGUAGAAGAAAAACUGUAGGAAUUUUUAUUGGAAUAGUAUUGAGUUUAUCAGUCAACUUGAGGCUAACAGACAUUGCAACAAUAUCAAGCCUUCUGAUCCACUGCACAGAGCUUCCUAUCCUACAUGAUUGUCUAUUGUAAUGCCAAAUUACAAGCAAUGGAGUCUCACUGUGUUGCCCAGGCUGGAGUGCUGUGGCAUGAUCUCAGCUCACUGCCAUCUCUGCCUCUUGAGUUCAAGCGAUUCUCCUGCCUCAGCUUCCCAAGUAGCUGGGAUUACAGGCGCACGCCACCACGCCCCGCUAGUUUUUGUAUUUUCAGUAGAGACGGGGUUUCACCAUGUUGGCCAGACUGGUCUGUAACUCCAGACUUCAGGUGAUCUGCCCACCUUGGCCUCCCAAAGUGCUGGGAUUACAGGCCUGAGCCACCAUGCCCAGCCAAUUUCCAUAUAUUUUUUAUACUGGGAUUUCAGAGAGUAAUUUCCUCUUCAUGUGUAACCAGUUAUGUGAAUUAAAACAGAUUCAGCCUUCUUUUACGGUUGUGAAAAACUGUAAUUCUUCCUCUCAAGUUCCCCCUUGGAAGGAGGGAUAUUUCAGGCUCAACAUUGUCCAGUCUGACCAUCGUUAGAGAGAAAGGCCUUAAAAUGUAUUUUCUAAAAGCUUUUCUAUAACUAAUCAACUUAAGUGUCAGUUGGGUGUCUGAGAUCUGUAAGACUUUGAGAUUAUUGCUCCAAAUUCCAUAGGACACUAAUCUCUUUCUUCUUAAUACUGUUUUUACUAAGAUUCAAGCAUAAGGGGCUUAUAUCCAAGGGGAUUUUUCCUAAGAAAAUGUAAAUAUAUAAAUAUAUGUACAGAAAUUAUUAAGAGUAGAAACAUUUGAGGAAUAGUGUGUCUAAUAGCAUAUACUCGGUGUUUUCCCCAUGAGUAAAUGAAAAAUGUUCAACAUAUAUGAAAAGAAUAAAGUGAAAAGUAAGAUCUUCAAAGAGGAUUAUUCGCUGCUGGAAAGUAAGUAAAAAGCAUCACAGAAGAGGCCAGACUCUCUGGCUCAUACCUGUAAUCUCAACAAUUUGGGGGGCCAAGGUAAGAGGAUCACUUGAGCCUAGGAGUAUGAGACCAGCCUGGGCAAUAUGGCAAGAUCUUCAAGACCUUGGCUCUACAUAAAAAAAAAAAAAAAAAAAAAAAAGCACGCUGAGCAUGCUCCUUGCUCCUCUGGUCCUAGGGAGACUGAGGUGGAAGGAUUGCUUGAGCCCAGGAAGUAGGGGCUGCAGCUGUGAUUGCAUCACUGCCCUUCAGCCUGGGAGACAGUGCAAGGCCUUGUCUCAAAAAAAAAAAAAAAAAAAAAAAAAAAAAAAUCAAGGAAGAGGACCCUUUUGCUUCAAAUAAGCAAAAAGAAAAGAAUAAAGUGAAUUUGUUUUCCUAUAUGGUAAUUGUGAAUUUUUCUAUUCCAUAAGGUAAUAGGGUCAUAAAUGCUGCUAGCUGAUGAGGCUGGGCCACUGCAACACUUAGGUGACAUAUCCAUUAGUUGCAGGUACUGCUAGAACCAGUGUUACUAGUACUGCCACCAUCUGCCAGUAACUGAGAACCAACACUCUUCCCAGUACUGCACCAAGAGGAACCUAAUGCAUAUUUCAUAAGCUUUCUAGGUAGAUAGAUGUCCAUGUUCCAUGGAGUGGUCCACCAUUUGCUAGCUCUAUGUCCUUGUGAUAUUCCUUUAUUUUCUCUACUUCUCACUUUUUCAUGUGUAAAAUGAGUCUCCUGGUGCUAUUCAUCUUAUAGGUUGUUUUCAGUACAGUUGGUCUCUGACAUACCAUGUUUUGACUUACAAUUUUUCAACUUUACAGUGGAUUUAUCAGGACAUAAGUCCAUCAUAAGUCAAAGAGCAUCUCUAUUAUGUAAAGUGUGUAUCACAAUGCCUAGAACACAAUAAGCUCUUGGUGAAGAGUUUUCUAUUAUUAUUCUUUUUAGUGUUUUCGUUAAUAUUGUUGUUAGUUUCUCUUUCUUACCUAUGAAAACUACAUGAGAGAUACAGGACUUUGGUGACUUGAAAAGCUAAAUCACUAAAUAAGUGUCAUCAUAAAGAAUGAUAUCCAGAGAAAGGAUUAUGAGAAGAUGGUAGAGUAGGAAGCACCAGGAAUCCAUCUACUCACCUACAUAAAAAUUACAGUGGAAGAAUCUGUUUGAUGUAAAUAUUUAGAACUAUUAAAGGCUUUCAACUUCCAGAAGAUUUUAGUUGUAUAUUGUGAUUAAUUUUGUUCAAUUGCAGCUCUCAGUGCAGUAGCAACUACCUGUCUAUCUGUAGCCACCGCCUCCCCAGCCUCCCACUCCCUACUCCUCACAGUCAUAGAGGAGGGCAUCCAUUGUCUGUUGCACCUGCCCCCAUUUGUUGAUUGUUGCAAGCCCCUCCCCUCUGGCUGAAGUGACUUCCUGGAGGUUUACAGGGCCAGUGAUUUUCAUUUUCACUUCAUGUUCUCUUUUUUCCUUUAUGAGAGUCAGACAUUGUUAAAGAUUAAGAUAUUAAAAAGCAACCACAUAUGUGCAGAAAUUAGAAAGCCACCACAAUUGCUCAAGGAAAGGUGCAGGCUCAGCAAAGACCUAAACAGCCUCAAAUUUAUACCUCAAGUUCAUCAUCAGCACAGAGAAAACCAGCAGCACAAUUAAAUUUUUAAAAAAGCAAACAUCAAAAAAAAAAAAAAACAUCCAAGUGAAAAAGAAUAAAAUUGGACCCGUAAUUAACACCAUAUAUAAAAAUUAACUCAAAAUUAAUGUAAGACCUAAAUAUAAGAUCAGAAGUGAUAAAAGUCUUAGAAGAAAGUGAAGCACAGGGCACAUCUUUAUGUUGAGAAUUCCUAAAACCCAAGAACAAAAACAAAAUAAAAUUUAUAAAUGAGGAAGAUACUUGAGUAGACAUUUCUCCAAAGAAGAUAUACAAAGGAUCAAGUAUUAGGGACAUUAGGCACAUGAUUAGGGAACAUCCCUAAUCAUUAGGGAAGUAGAAAUCAAAACUACAAUGGGAUACCCUCUCGCACCCAUUAGAACGGCUGCUAUCCGAAACAAAAACAGAUAAAAAGUGUUGGUGAGGAGGUGAACAAAUUACAAUACUUGUGCAUCGUUGGUAGGAAUAUAAAAUGGUACAACCACCGUGGAAGGCAGUAUGAUAGUUCCUCAAAAAAUUAAAAAUAGAAUUAACAUAAAAUCCAGGAGUUCCAGUUGAAGGUAUAUACUCAAAAGAAUUUGAAGAGAUAUUUUGAAGAGAUAUUUGUAGAAUUAUAUUCACAGUAACAUUAGCUAAUACGUAGAAUCAAACCAAGUGUCCAUUGACAGAUGGAUGAAUAAGUAAAAUAUGGUACAUCCAAUGGAAUAUUAUUUAGCUUUAAAGGAAGGAAAUUCUGGCAUGUUUACAAGAUGGAUGAACCUUAAGGACAUUAUUCUAUGUGAAAUGAGCUGGCACUAAAGGACAAAUGCUGUAUGAUUCCACUUGUGUGAGGUAUUUAGAGUAAUCAAAUUCAUAGAGACUGUGGGUAGCAAGCCACCCAGGUGCCGAGGCAAGAGACCGAAGGCACAAGCUGUUCCAGUAUAAUAAAAUAUAUAGAAUCAGAAUAGUUAUACUAGAAAUAGAUUAUAGAUAUGAUUAUGAAUAUUAUUAAUAAUUAGUUUGUAGCAUUACUCUUUACUCCAAUAUUAUAGUAAUAUUUCUUCUACAAUUAUAACCUAGGAAAAACCAGGCCAUGCAGAGAUAGGAGGUGAAGGGACACGGUGAGAAGUGACCAGAAGAUGAGUGUGAGCCCUCUGUUAUGCCCGGGCAGGGCCACUAGAGGGCUCCCUGGUCUAGCGGUAACACCAGUGCCCGAGAAGGCACCUGCUACUUAGCGGACCUUGGUCUAGGGAUAGCACCAGUGCCUGGGAAGGCACCCGUUACUUAGCAGACUGGGAAAGGGAGUCUCCCUUUCCCCGGGGGAGUUACAGAAGAAUCUGCUCCAUCACUUCUUGUGGAAGGCCUGACAUCGGUCAGGCCCACCCACAGCCAUCCGGAGGCCUAAACGUGUCUCUGUGAUGCUGUGCUUCAGCGGUCACGCUCCUGGUCCACUUUCAUGUUCUGCCCUGUACACCUGGCUCUGCCUUCUAGAUAGUAGUAGCAGAAUUAGUGAAAGUAUUAAAGUAUUUGAUCUUUCCGAGAAAUACAUAAAAGAAAUAAUGAUGUAAGCUGUCCCCUCUCUCCACCUUGGCUACCAAAUAGGGAAGGGACCCCUGUCUGGUAGACACGUGACUCGCAUGACCUUACCCAUCAUUGGAGAUAACUCACAUUCCUUACCCUCUUGCCUUGUAUACAAUAAAUAACAGCGCGGCCAGGCAUUCGGGGCCACUACCGGCCUCCGUGCCUUGGUGGUAGUGGUCCCCCGGGCCCAGCUGUCUUUUCUUCUAUCUCUUUGUCUUGUGUCUUUAUUUCUAUGAUCUCUCGUCUCCAUACACGAAGAGAAAAACCCACAGGUCCUGUAGGACUGGACCCUACAGAGACAGAAAGUAGAAUGGUAGCUUUCCAGGGCUAUGGGAAUGGGGAAAUCGGGAGUUAUUGUUCAAUGAA
rnacentral:lncRNA from 10 species